CUUUCUCAAUUCUUCUUAAAUACUGAUAAUCUAAUUAAAAUUGCUUCUACCUUGCUUGCAUAGGAUCCAGGAGCUCAAUGCGAAGAUUACAUCACAAGCACUUCAGGAGCAAGAAAGUUAACAACUGAAUCUAGGAAUGAGCCCCAACCUGAUGACCAUUACUGUGCAGCAGAGUGAAGAUCACUCUGGGGAGGCCUUCACAUGGAUCUGUGUUCACAACUCUGUGCAGUAUUACAUAGAACCCUACCUGAGUCCAGUCAGGCCCAGUGUCUGUGUCCUAAACAAGAUAUAUAUAAAAUCUAA